AAAAGCUGUUAGGGGUGUCCCGAUAUACCGGGGCUGAGAUCACACCCUUCAAACCUGAUCCGGGUAAUGCCGGCGUAGGGAAACGGGCAGUAGAAUAA
rnacentral:ncRNA from 2 species